rnacentral:rRNA from 1 species
UGGGGAAUAUUGGACAAUGGGGGGAACCCUGAUCCAGCCAUGCCGCGUGUGUGAAGAAGGCCUUAUGGUUGUAAAGCACUUUAAGCGAGGAGGAGGGUACUGGUAUUAAUACUACCAGCUACUGGACGUUACUCGCAGAAUAAGCAUCGGCUAACUCUGUGCCAGCAGCCGCGGUAAUACAGAGGGUGCGAGCGUUAAUCGGAUUUACUGGGCGUAAAGCGUGCGUAGGCGGCUAAUUGAGUCGGAUGUGAAAUCCCCGAGCUUAACUUGGGAAUUGCAUUCGAUACUGGUUAGCUAGAGUGUGGGAGAGGAUGGUAGAAUUCCAGGUGUAGCGGUGAAAUGCGUAGAGAUCUGGAGGAAUACCGAUGGCGAAGGCAGCCAUCUGGCCUAACACUGACGCUGAGGUACGAAAGCAUGGGGAGCAAACAGG